rnacentral:rRNA from 1 species
AGAGUUUGAUCCUGGCUCAGGACGAACGCUGGCGGCGUGCCUAACACAUGCAAGUCGAGCGGAGAAUGCAGAAAUGUUUACAUGGAAGCGUUCUUAGCGGCGGACGGGUGAGUAACACGUGGGUAACCUGCCUCAAAGUGGGGGAUAGCCUUCCGAAAGGAAGAUUAAUACCGCAUAAGCCUACAGUGCCGCAUGGCACAGCAGGAAAAGGAGCAAUCCGCUUUGAGAUGGACCCGCGGCGCAUUAGCUAGUUGGUGAGGUAACGGCUCACCAAGGCGACGAUGCGUAGCCGACCUGAGAGGGUGAUCGGCCACAUUGGAACUGAGACACGGUCCAGACUCCUACGGGAGGCAGCAGUGGGGAAUAUUGCACAAUGGGCGAAAGCCUGAUGCAGCAACGCCGCGUGAGUGAUGAAGGCCUUCGGGUCGUAAAGCUCUUUGAUCAGGGAUGAUAAUGACAGUACCUGAAAAACAAGCCACGGCUAACUACGUGCCAGCAGCCGCGGUAAUACGUAGGUGGCGAGCGUUGUCCGGAAUUACUGGGCGUAAAGGAUGCGUAGGUGGAUACUUAAGUGGGAUGUGAAAUCCCCGGGCUCAACCCGGGAACUGCAUUCCAAACUGGGUAUCUAGAGUGCAGGAGAGGAAAGCGGAAUUCCUAGUGUAGCGGUGAAAUGCGUAGAUAUUAGGAGGAACACCAGUGGCGAAGGCGGCUUUCUGGACUGUAACUGACACUGAGGCAUGAAAGCGUGGGUAGCAAACAGGAUUAGAUACCCUGGUAGUCCACGCCGUAAACGAUGGGUACUAGGUGUAGGAGGUAUCGACCCCUUCUGUGCCGUCGUUAACACAAUAAGUACCCCGCCUGGGGAGUACGGUCGCAAGACUAAAACUCAAAGGAAUUGACGGGCUCAUCUAUCGUGACUGGGAAACAGAUCGGAAGAGCACACGUCUGAACUCCAGUCACUAAUGCGCAUCUCGUAUGCCGUCUUCUGCUUGAAAAAAA